CAAUAGCGUAUAUUAAAGUUGUUGCAGUUAAAAAGCUCGUAGUUGGAUUUGUGGCUGUCACGGGCGGCCUAUCACUUAGUGUUAGUGCUUGCCUGUGUCGCCAUCCUUGGGUGGAGCCCGUGUGGCAUUAGGUUGUCGUGCGGGGGAUGCCCAUCGUUUACUGUGCGAAAAUUAGAGUGUUCAAAGCAGGCUUAUGCCGUUGAAUAUGUUAGCAUGGAAUAAUAAGAUAGGACCUCGGUACUAUUUUGUUGGUUUGCGCACCGAGGUAAUGAUUAAUAGGGACAGUUGGGGGUAUUCGUAUUUCAUUGUCAGAGGUGAAAUUCUUGGAUUUCUGAAAGACGAACUACUGCGAAAGCAUUUACCAAGGAUGUUUUCAUUAA
rnacentral:rRNA from 1 species